rnacentral:rRNA from 1 species
CGCGGAGAAGGUUAAGCAAGCCAGGUGUUGGACGUCCUGGUUCAAGCGUGUAGGGAGAUUUCUUAGGCAAAUCCGGGGGAUCAAUUCUGAGGCGUGAUAACGAGUGCCCUUGUGGCGCGAAGUUGCUAUACCAAGCUUCCAAGAAAAGCCACUAAGCUUCAGUUCUAUUUUGACCGUACCGCAAACCGACACAGGUGGGCAGGAUGAGAAUUCUAAGGCGCUUGAGAGAACUCGGGUGAAGGAACUCGGCAAAUUUGCACCGUAACUUCGGGAGAAGGUGCGCCCCGGUAGAGUGUAGAGACUUGCUCUCGAAGCUCGAUGGGGUUGCAGUGAAAUGGUGGCUGCGACUGUUUAAUAAAAACACAGCACUCUGCAAACACGAAAGUGGACGUAUAGAGUGUGACGCCUGCCCGGUGCUGGAAGAUUAAAUGAUGGGGUGCAAGCUCUUGAUUGAAGUCCCAGUAAACGGCGGCCGUAACGAUAACGGUCCUAAGGUAGCGAAAUUCCUUGUCGGGUAAGUUCCGACCUGCACGAAUGGCGUAACGAUGGCCACACUGUCUCCACCCGAGACUCAGCGAAGUUGAAAUGUUUGUGAAGAUGCAAUCUACCCGAGGCUAGACGGAAAGACCCCAUGAACCUUUACUGUAGCUUUGCAUUGGAUUUUGAAUAGACCUGUGUAGGAUAGCUGGGAGGCUUUGAAGCGGGGACGCCAGUUCUCGUGGAGCCAACCUUGAAAUACCAGCCUGGUGUGUUUGAGAUUCUAACCUAGACCCCUUAUCGGGGUUGGGGACCGUGCAUGGUAGGCAGUUUGACUGGGGCGGUCUCCUCCCAAAUUGUAACGGAGGAGUACGAAGGUAUCCUAGGUACGGUCGGACAUCGUACUGAUAGUGCAAUGGCAAAAGGAUGCUCAACUGCGAGACUGACAAGUCGAGCAGAUACGAAAGUAGGUCAUAGUGAUCCGGUGGUUCUGUAUGGAAGGGCCAUCGCUCAACGGAUAAAAGGUACUCUGGGGAUAACAGGCUGAUUCCUCCCAAGAGUUCAUAUCGACGGGGGAGUUUGGCACCUCGAUGUCGGCUCAUCACAUCCUGGGGCUGUAGCCGGUCCCAAGGGUAUGGCUGUUCGCCAUUUAAAGUGGUACGUGAGCUGGGUUUAAAACGUCGUGAGACAGUUUGGUCCCUAUCUGCCUUGGGCGUUGGAAAUUUGAAGGGACCUGCUCCUAGUACGAGAGGACCGGAGUGGACAGAUCUCUGGUGUACCGGUUAUCACGCCAGUGGUAUUGCCGGGUAGCUAAAUCUGGAAGAGAUAACCGCUGAAAGCAUCUAAGCGGGAAACUCGCCUUGAGAUAAGAUUUCCCUGGGGGUUCGACCCCCCUAAAGAGUCGUUCGAGACUAGGACGUUGAUAGGCUGGGUGUGGAAGCGCAGUAAUGCGUUAAGCUAACCAGUACUAAUUGCUCGUGAGGCUUGAUCCU